GCCCCGCGCAGGAAGCGCCCGGCAGCUUCCGCCCAGGGCGCCCGGCCCGGCCUGUCGCCGCUGCGGGACCGGACCCGACCCAGCGGGACGGCGCGCAGCCGCGCGCGGAGCCGUGAGUGCGUCCGCUCGGGCUCGGCCGGCCGAGGCCAGGCCUCUGUGCGUCAGCCCUGCCCACUCUUCGGUGCCCGUGGGUGCUCGGAGCGGCCCCGGCCCCUGUGCCGUUCCUGGAGGCCGUGAGCGCGUGCGGACGGAGGCGGGUGACAUUCACGCGACGGCGUGGCUCCGGUCCUCAGUUCAUCCCGUGUUAUCAACAGGAAACCUUACAGACACACGAAGCCUUCCACCAUCUGGAACUCAGAAACUCGACUGGGGAGGACUGUGGCCUCUGGACUGUCCAGGUGAUUCACAGACGUGAGCACUUGUCCCACUCUUGCCAGCUGGAGCCCCGAACAGCUGCACGGCCUGUGCCCCGGCUCACACAGCCCUGAACCGAGGGGGCGUUUUCCAAGUGGCCGAGAGCAGCUGCUGACACUGCGGUCUGGCGGCCACACACCGCCCGCCGCCUCCCAGAGCUGGGCUGGAGAAGGCCUCGUUCGGGCCUGGAGCCUCCUGACUCUUGAAUUAGGAUUCCAGGUGGGGGCCUCGUUUCUGCAGCCCCCAACAUCCCUGUAGGCAUCCCCAUCGCUCCCCGUGUCUUCCCGGCAAACUCCCCCACCGCCUCACUCCACAGGCUCGGAAUCCUCCCCAACCACCAUGGCCUGGCUUUCCCUAAAGGUCUGGUUGGUGGGGCUGAGUUUCCUGGGAUGUCUUUAUCCUCUUGUGGAUUUUAGCUUCAGUGGAGAGACAAGAGGCCAGAAACCGAAUUUCGUGAUCAUUUUGGCGGAUGACAUGGGGUGGGGUGACCUGGGAGCCAACUGGGCGGGCACGAAGGACACUGCCAACCUGGACAGGAUGGCUGCAGAAGGAACGAGGUUUGUGGAUUUCCAUGCGGCGGCCUCCACCUGCUCGCCCUCCCGGGCGGCCCUGCUCACCGGCCGGCUGGGCCUCCGCAACGGGGUCACUCACAACUUCGCAGUCACGUCCGUGGGGGGCCUUCCACUCAACGAGACCACCUUGGCCGAAGUGCUGCGGGGGGCUGGCUACGUCACGGGAAUGAUUGGGAAGUGGCAUCUUGGGCACCAUGGCUCUCACCAUCCCAACUUCCGUGGCUUUGACUACUACUUUGGGGUCCCAUACAGCCAUGACAUGGGCUGCACCGACUGCCCUGGCUACAACCAUCCCCCCUGCCCGGCGUGUCCCCGGGGCCAUAGACCAUCCAGGAACCUCGAGCGGGACUGCUACUCUGACGUGGCCCUUCCUCUGUACGAAAACCUCAACAUCGUGGAGCAGCCCGUGAACUUGACCGCCCUUGCACAGAAGUAUGCCGAGAAGGCCACCCAGUUCAUCCAGCAGGCGAGCACCAGCGGGAGACCCUUCCUGCUGUACGUGGGCCUGGCGCACAUGCACGUGCCCCUGGCCGGGACGCCGCCAUCAGCAGGACCCAGGGGUCAAAGGCCGUACAGCGCGGGCCUGCGGGAGAUGGACCACCUCGUGGGCCGGAUCAAGGACACAGUUGACCUCGUGGGGAAAAACAACACGUUCCUCUGGUUUACAGGGGACAAUGGCCCGUGGGCUCAGAAGUGUGAGCUGGCCGGGAGUGUGGGGCCCUUCACCGGAUCGUGGCAGGCUCGUCGAGGGGGAAGUCCUGCCAAGCAGACCACCUGGGAAGGAGGGCACCGCGUCCCGGCCGUGGCGUACUGGCCUGGCAGGGUCCCCGUCAACGUGACCAGCGCAGCUCUGCUGAGCGUGCUGGACAUCUUCCCCACCGUGCUGGCCCUGGCCGGGGCCCCCCUGCCCCGAGGCCGACGCUUUGAUGGUCUGGAUGUCUCGCAGGUGCUGUUCGGCCGGGCGCAGAUGGGACACAGGUUGGCCCCCAGAGAAACGAUUGUAAAUCCUCUCGAAGUUGCUGAUGGAAGACCAGGAGGGAAACAUAGGAGUGAUGAUAAAGAUGUGUGUACACAUACAUGUGUUUACACACACACAUGCACGUGUGUAUUUUUCCAUAUUCAGUAAUCACUUACUGAGUAUCACGGGCAAGGCACUGCGUGAGACAUUCUGGGACAUCCAGUGGCACAUGACAGCCUUAAAGGUUAGAUUUAAACGUUUCCACCUGUUUGGAACAUUCCUUAACAUGCAGAAUAUAUUCAUUCACUCCCACAGCAUACACAUGUAUGUUUUAAUAAACACAAUUGUGUUCACCCUCAGCUAUAUUCUGGGCUUACAAGGUUCUGGUAUGGGUUGGUUUAGAAAACCAUUCCAGUUUCAAGAAGCUCGAAGGAACCCCUAGAUUGUCAUCUCAAAACUAUGCAAAACGCCUCAGCCGUUGGGUGCUUCCGUUUUGCAAACAGGUAAUGGCAACGGCAAGUGAGUGAGCUGAAGCAACGUGGGGCUGUGUGCACCGUGGCCCCGCCCCCUGGGCCCUGCGAUGAGAGCAGAUGCUGGGCUGUGGGUUUUCCGGCGGAGCGGUCUCACCGCCCACUUCGCGGACAGCCAGGGCCGUCUUGUCUGUGAUGUUCAAAACCAUGGCUGCUGACUCUAUGCUGUGCGUUCCUGCGCACCCUGCAGUCCGGGGGUGCGGGGGUCUGUGUCCAGGCACCGAGGGCAGCCGCAGCAGGGAAGGGGAGCGGGGAGUUGGGGAGCAGUGAGGUGGGGCGGGCAGGGGGGCGCACAGGUCCCACUCAGGGCUCGCCUGGCUCCCGGCUGGAAGCUGGAAGUUGCAGCAUCACGGCUGGUCACGUCUUAUCCCUGCCCCAGGCUGACACGUCCAAGCCCGAGAACUGUCAGCCAACGGAAGGCUUCCGUAGCAGCUCAUCACCUGCUCUGCCCUGACCAACCUGGGGCCGUGUGGUGACCCAGUGCCCAGCCAUCCCUGGAGACCACAUGUCGGAGAAGCAGUUAAGUCCUUAGUCUCUGGACCACUGAUCACCUCUCUUAAGGAGAAGAGAGGCCCCUAGUGGUCAGAGAUGCUGUCCAGAGCGGCUGGCACAAGGCUGACCGCUUUCGGAGAUGGGGGUCUGCACGCCCGCACCCGAAGGGCUGGGAGCCCUCCAGGCUUUCUGGGGAUGUCACCUAGGCACCGGCCCCCAGGGCUUAAAGUAAGGAGAUGCCUCCCGCUUGAAAAAUGGCGAUUGGAUAGAAUAAACCCAACAGGUGCUGUUCCACCCCAACAGCGGGGCUGCCGGAGAGGACGGAGCGCUUCAGACCGUCCGCCUGGAGCGGUACAAGGCCUUCUACGUCACCG